GGAAAGGCGCGCGAUACAGGGUGACAGCCCCGUACACAAAAAUGCACAUGCUGUGAGCUCGAUGAGUAGGGCGGGACACGUGGUAUCCUGUCUGAAUAUGGGGGGACCAUCCUCCAAGGCUAAAUACUCCUGACUGACCGAUAGUGAACCAGUACCGUGAGGGAAAGGCGAAAAGAACCCCGGCGAGGGGAGUGAAAAAGAACCUGAAACCGUGUACGUACAAGCAGUGGGAGCACGCUUAGGCGUGUGACUGCGUACCUUUUGUAUAAUGGGUCAGCGACUUAUAUUCUGUAGCAAGGUUAACCGAAUAGGGGAGCCGAAGGGAAACCGAGUCUUAACUGGGCGUUAAGUUGCAGGGUAUAGACCCGAAACCCGGUGAUCUAGCCAUGGGCAGGUUGAAGGUUGGGUAACACUAACUGGAGGACCGAACCGACUAAUGUUGAAAAAUUAGCGGAUGACUUGUGGCUGGGGGUGAAAGGCCAAUCAAACCGGGAGAUAGCUGGUUCUCCCCGAAAGCUAUUUAGGUAGCGCCUCGUGAAUUCAUCUCCGGGGGUAGAGCACUGUUUCGGCAAGGGGGUCAUCCCGACUUACCAACCCGAUGCAAACUGCGAAUACCGGAGAAUGUUAUCACGGGAGACACACGGCGGGUGCUAACGUCCGUCGUGAAGAGGGAAACAACCCAGACCGCCAGCUAAGGUCCCAAAGUCAUGGUUAAGUGGGAAACGAUGUGGGAAGGCCCAGACAGCCAGGAUGUUGGCUUAGAAGCAGCCAUCAUUUAAAGAAAGCGUAAUAGCUCACUGGUCGAGUCGGCCUGCGCGGAAGAUGUAACGGGGCUAAACCAUGCACCGAAGCUGCGGCAGCGACGCUGAUGCGUUGUUGGGUAGGGGAGCGUUCUGUAAGCCUG
rnacentral:rRNA from 1 species